UGGGGAAUAUUGGACAAUGGGCGCAAGCCUGAUCCAGCCAUGCCGCGUGAGUGAUGAAGGCCCUAGGGUUGUAAAGCUCUUUCACCGGUGAAGAUAAUGACGGUAACCGGAGAAGAAGCCCCGGCUAACUUCGUGCCAGCAGCCGCGGUAAUACGAAGGGGGCUAGCGUUGUUCGGAUUUACUGGGCGUAAAGCGCACGUAGGCGGACUUUUAAGUCAGGGGUGAAAUCCCGGGGCUCACCCCCGGAACUGCCUUUGAUACUGGAAGUCUUGAGUAUGGUCGAUGUGAGUGGAAUUCCGAGUGUAGAGGUGAAAUUCGUAGAUAUUCGGAGGAACACCAGUGGCGAAGGCGGCUCACUGGACCAUUACUGACGCUGAGGUGCGAAAGCGUGGGGAGCAAACAGG
rnacentral:rRNA from 1 species